GUUAUAUGGUCAAGUGAAGAAGCGCAUACGGUGGAUGCCUUGGCAGUCAGAGGCGAUGAAAGACGUGGUAGCCUGCGAUAAGCUUCGGGGAGUCGGCAAACAGACUUUGAUCCGGAGAUCUCUGAAUGGGGGAACCCAGCCAUCAUAAGAUGGUUAUCUUGUACUGAAUACAUAGGUGCAAGAGGCGAACCAGGGGAACUGAAACAUCUAAGUACCCUGAGGAAAAGAAAUCAACCGAGAUUCCCUUAGUAGUGGCGAGCGAACGGGGACUAGCCCUUAAGUGGCUUUGAGAUUAGCGGAACGCUCUGGAAAGUGCGGCCAUAGUGGGUGAUAGCCCUGUACGCGAAAGUCUCUUAGUCAUGAAAUCGAGUAGGACGGAGCACGAGAAACUUUGUCUGAAUAUGGGGGGACCAUCCUCCAAGGCUAAAUACUACUGACUGACCGAUAGUGAACUAGUACCGUGAGGGAAAGGCGAAAAGAACCCCGGAGAGGGGAGUGAAAUAGAUCCUGAAACCGUAUGCGUACAAGCAGUGGGAGCAGACUUUGUUCUGUGACUGCGUACCUUUUGUAUAAUGGGUCAGCGACUUAUAUUCAGUGGCGAGCUUAACCGAAUAGGGGAGGCGUAGCGAAAGCGAGUGUUAAUAGCGCGUUUAGUCGCUGGGUAUAGACCCGAAACCGGGCGAUCUAUCCAUGGGCAGGUUGAAGGUUGGGUAACACUAACUGGAGGACCGAACCGACUACCGUUGAAAAGUUAGCGGAUGACCUGUGGAUCGGAGUGAAAGGCUAAUCAAGCUCGGAGAUAGCUGGUUCUCCUCGAAAGCUAUUUAGGUAGCGCCUCAUGUAUCACUGUAGGGGGUAGAGCACUGUUUCGGCUAGGGGGUCAUCCCGACUUACCAAACCGAUGCAAACUCCGAAUACCUACAAGUGCCGAGCAUGGGAGACACACGGCGGGUGCUAACGUCCGUCGUGAAAAGGGAAACAACCCAGACCGUCAGCUAAGGUCCCAAAGUUAUGGUUAAGUGGGAAACGAUGUGGGAAGGCUUAGACAGCUAGGAGGUUGGCUUAGAAGCAGCCACCCUUUAAAGAAAGCGUAAUAGCUCACUAGUCGAGUCGGCCUGCGCGGAAGAUGUAACGGGGCUCAAACCAUACACCGAAGCUACGGGUAUCACGUAAGUGAUGCGGUAGAGGAGCGUUCUGUAAGCCUGUGAAGGUGAGUUGAGAAGCUUGCUGGAGGUAUCAGAAGUGCGAAUGCUGACAUGAGUAACGACAAUGGGUGUGAAAAACACCCACGCCGAAAGACCAAGGUUUCCUGCGCAACGUUAAUCGACGCAGGGUUAGUCGGUCCCUAAGGCGAGGCUGAAAAGCGUAGUCGAUGGAAAACAGGUUAAUAUUCCUGUACUUCUAGUUAUUGCGAUGGAGGGACGGAGAAGGCUAGGCCAGCUUGGCGUUGGUUGUCCAAGUUUAAGGUGGUAGGCUGGAAUCUUAGGUAAAUCCGGGGUUCUAAGGCCGAGAGCUGAUGACGAGUUACCUUUUAGGUGACGAAGUGGUUGAUGCCAUGCUUCCAAGAAAAGCUUCUAAGCUUCAGAUAACUAGGAACCGUACCCCAAACCGACACAGGUGGUUGGGUAGAGAAUACCAAGGCGCUUGAGAGAACUCGGGUGAAGGAACUAGGCAAAAUGGCACCGUAACUUCGGGAGAAGGUGCGCCGGUGAGGGUGAAGGACUUGCUCCGUAAGCCCAUGCCGGUCGAAGAUACC
rnacentral:rRNA from 1 species